UGGGGAAUAUUGCACAAUGGGCGGAAGCCUGAUGCAGCGACGCCGCGUGGGGGAUGAAGGCCUUCGGGUUGUAAACUCCUUUCGACAGGGACGAAGCUUUUGUGACGGUACCUGUAUAAGAAGCACCGGCUAACUACGUGCCAGCAGCCGCGGUAAUACGUAGGGUGCGAGCGUUGUCCGGAAUUACUGGGCGUAAAGAGCUCGUAGGUGGUUUGUCGCGUCGUCUGUGAAAUUCCGGGGCUUAACUCCGGGCGUGCAGGCGAUACGGGCUUACUUGAGUGCUGUAGGGGAGACUGGAAUUCCUGGUGUAGCGGUGAAAUGCGCAGAGAUCAGGAGGAACACCGGUGGCGAAGGCGGGUCUCUGGGCAGUAUCUGACGCUGAGGAGCGAAAGCAUGGGUAGCGAACAGG
rnacentral:rRNA from 1 species